rnacentral:misc_RNA from 1 species
GAUGAAGAACGUAGCGAAAUGCGAUAAGUAAUGUGAAUUGCAGAAUUCAGUGAAUCAUCGAAUCUUUGAACGCACAUUGCACCUUUUGGUAUUCCAUGAGGUAUACAUGUUCGAGCGUCGUUACACAAUUAAGACUCCGUCUUGCGUUGACGCCUCCGGCCGACGAGGCCGGAGCGUCGAAAACGAUUGGCGCACGUGCCUCGUGACGAACCCGAUAACCUGGGACGAGUCGCGAGGGGCGGGCCGCCGGGGGAUCGACCCCCCAAACCUUAUUCAUACGUUCGACCUCGAAUCAUGUAGGAUUACCCGCUGAACUUAAGCAUAUCAAUAAGCGGAGGA